AUGGAGCUUUGUUGGCUCACAACCAUCCAUGGUUCUUGAAGAAGCUUGGAGAGAAAGGGGUGUGAGAGGAGAGGGUGCUCACUCCUCACACUCCCUCACUUAAAACAGUUUGUUUUGGCUUAGCUUUGGCUUCUCUAAUCAACAAGGGAUGUGUUCUAACAUUCUCUCUUGAGUGGCAGAAGCAGAUAUGCAUUCUCCAAAGGAGGAGAGGCUUUGGCUACAGCCUGGCAAACCGGCAAGUCACAAAAAAGGCAAUGGACUCCAUUGGGGUCUC
rnacentral:sRNA from 1 species